GAUGAACGCUGGCGGCGUGCCUAACACAUGCAAGUCGAGCGAUUCUCUUCGGAGAAGAGCGGCGGACGGGUGAGUAACGCGUGGGUAACCUGCCCUGUACACACGGAUAACAUACCGAAAGGUAUGCUAAUACGAGAUAAUAUGCUUUUAUCGCAUGGUAGAAGUAUCAAAGCUUUUGCGGUACAGGAUGGACCCGCGCCUGAUUAGCUAGUUGGUAAGGUAACGGCUUACCAAGGCGACGAUCAGUAGCCGACCUGAGAGUGUGAGCGGCCACACUGGAACUGAGACACGGUCCAAACUACUACGGGAUGGAGCAGUGGGGAAUAGUGCACAAUGGGCGAAAGCCUGAUGCAGCAACGCCGCGUGAGCGAUGAAGGCCUUCGGGUCGUAAAGCACUGUCCUCAAGGAAGAUAAUGACGGUACCUGAGGAGGAAGCCACGGCUAACUACGUGCCAGCCGCCGCGGUAA
rnacentral:rRNA from 1 species